UGGGAAGAGGGGGAGGUGUACACCUGCUGGGUCGCUCAGAAUGACACCAGUGAUUCGGCCGCCUUCCGGAGAAGUCAUUGUAGUGUCUAGAGACUGGAGAGGAAAUUGUAAGGGGCAAGAGAGUCCCCACACUGUUCUGGAAACAGUGUUUAAGAGCUGAAUGUUACAGUAUAAUAGUGAAUAAUAUCAGUAGUGCUGUGUGCUAAAUGAACUAUUUUGAGAUUAAGUUGUAUAUAUCUUCUUGCCUCUGAGAUAAAGAUUGUUUUGAUUGAAAAAUAACCCCAAUACUUAAUUUAAUCAUGAUUCCAGUGAUCACUAUCUCAUGAAUAUGCAGCACAUUUCAUAGUAAUUUGCAUCAAUCAGCUACAUUUAUAAUUUCAGCAUUGUAGCAUAUCGCUACUCUCAUGAUUUCAAACAUAAUUUAAAAGGCAUAUGAUAAAACAAAUACUCUGCAAUCAUUUCUACAACUGAAUGAUCCUGUUAUACUGUAGCUCCAAUACUAUGGAGAAAAAUGUGUGAUAUUUGAUAAUAAACAUGUAAGAUCUGCUCUCAGAACUCACACUGCUAAAUUAUUACUUUACAUGAAAUAUAUAUUCAUAAUGUUUCAUUCCUAAUAUGGUGACAGUGCUGCUCUAUUCUGGGGCAAGCAGAACCAGCCAGACAUGUCUAUGCAAAUCUCAGUUUCACUGCCUGAAGUACCCUGGACUGAGCCAGAUUUGAGGGACUAGACUAGGUUUGAAGCAUGUAGUGAACAUUUGUCUCAUGUUUGAACCCAGCAUCAUGUCUCAUUCACAGAUCUAACAGUCAGGAACCUGCUCAAGAAAAUAGUUAAUGUAAUGUUUUUAGAUCAAAUCCAUUUAAAUCAGACAUUUGGUUGUGAGCUCCAUUUCGUGACUUGUUUUGGGGGCUGAAGUGAUUAUAGCAUUGAGGUUACUCAGGAUAGUAAGCCGACAAACUCUUGGGCUACAAUACCUCUUUUGCCAUUUGGCCUGGACCCUUUAUUGUCGACACCGAGCCCUGCCGAUCCAUCACGACUGGUCUGCCGACGUAAUCGUCCGAUGUGGCUUCAACAUGCUUUUCCGUUGAGAAGACGCCAAUGACCCAUCUGCUAGCCCCGGUCCGCAUGCUUUCUGAACACCGUGUCUCCCGCUCGCCUAGCGUAGUAGCGACUACUGAACGGCUCCCUGACUCAUCUAUUGCUGCUCAUUAGACCCUAUGAUCCCUCGGCUACAGAGAUGAUGCCUGCUGGACUGUUCACUACCACGGUACCUCAUUUAGUUUAUCUGUCGGCCCCAGCCUCGAACUCAGGUAUACCUAACUGACCCUCUCUGCCCAUUCAUCACCAUUUACCCGUUGUCGUCUUUGCUCUCCCGAUCAACACCUGUGAUUGCUUUAUGCGUCUCUGAUAGAGGAAAAUAUAGUUUAGAUAAUCAAUUAUGUAUACAUUAAUGAUUAGAACCAUUCAUGCUAAUACUUAUGUUAUGAUUUGAAAAGUAUGGGUUCUUAAUUGUACUGUUACUGAAAAUGUAAGCAGAAAUGAAUUGUGUCUGUGUCUACUGGGAAGGUUAGGGAGGGAUGCUGUGGCUUUUCAGACAGAUAAGAAAUGCCUGGGAAAAUGUUCCAUUCCUAAAACAAUGGGUUCUUGUGAGAAUCGGAGAGAGGGGGUGUAACUGAUGACGUCAUUUUAUGUCUUCUUUCUUUAAAAUGUCAUGUUCUUUGUAUUUUGGGUCAGUACUCACUUGAAUUAAACGCUAUUUACCUGGC